rnacentral:pre_miRNA from 1 species
UCCAACAUUUGACCAUUCGUUUUAUUUGAAAUUUUUUGCGAUUAAUAUUUUUAUUAUUACUAGAUGAUAAAAUAUGAACAAUAUUUUAUACGUGACUAAUUUUUUUAGAUUUUUGCAUAAAAUUUUCAAAUAAGACGAAUGGUCAAAACGUUGAACACGAAAAAAC